rnacentral:piRNA from 1 species
UCCAAGGUCUGGGUUUGUGAUGAUGAUGAGC